GAUGAACGCUGGCGGCGUGCCUAAUACAUGCAAGUCGAGCGAACGGACGAGAAGCUUGCUUCUCUGAUGUUAGCGGCGGACGGGUGAGUAACACGUGGAUAACCUACCUAUAAGACUGGGAUAACUUCGGGAAACCGUAGCUAAUACCGGAUAAUAUUUUGAACCGCAUGGUUCAAAAGUGAAAGACGGUCUUGCUGUCACUUAUAGAUGGAUCCGCGCUGCAUUAGCUAGUUGGUAAGGUAACGGCUUACCAAGGCAACGAUGCAUAGCCGACCUGAGAGGGUGAUCGGCCACACUGGAACUGAGACACGGUCCAGACUCCUACGGGAGGCAGCAGUAGGGAGUCUUCCGCAAUGUGCGAAAGCCUGACGGAGCAACGCAGCGUGAGUGAUGAAGGUCUUCGGAUCGUAAAACUCUGUUAUUAGGGAAGAACAUAUGUGUAAGUAACUGUGCACAUCUUGACGGUACCUAAUCAGAAAGCCACGGCUAACUACGUG
rnacentral:rRNA from 1 species